rnacentral:siRNA from 1 species
AGGCGUUUAGUGAUCAAUGCACCA